CCGAGUUAGGGUGUCUCUUGACGCCCGACCUCCAACCCUUUGUCUACCUGACCUUCUGUUGCUUCGGCCGGCCCGCCCCCUUCUCUGUUGGGGAGGGGGCCGCCGGGGGUGCUUCACCGCCCCCUGGCCCGCCGCCGGCCGGUGGCCCUUACAAACUCUUUUACAAAACGUGUCGUCUGAGUACGUGUUAUACCAAUAACUAAA
rnacentral:misc_RNA from 1 species